UACGAAGGGGGCUAGCGUUGCUCGGAAUCACUGGGCGUAAAGCGCACGUAGGCGGCUUUCUAAGUCAGGGGUGAAAUCCUGGAGCUCAACUCCAGAACUGCCUUUGAUACUGGAGAGCUUGAGUCCGGAAGAGGUGAGUGGAACUCCGAGUGUAGAGGUGAAAUUCGUAGAUAUUCGGAAGAACACCAGUGGCGAAGGCGGCUCACUGGUCCGGUACUGACGCUGAUGCACGAAAGCGUGGGGAGCGAACAGG
rnacentral:rRNA from 1 species